UACAGAGGUCUCAAGCGUUGUUCGGAUUCAUUGGGCGUAAAGGGCGCGUAGGUGGCAGGGUAAGUCGGAUGUGAAAUCCCGGGGCUCAACCUCGGAACUGCAUUCGAUACUGCUUUGCUGGAGUACUGGAGAGGAGAUUGGAAUUUACGGUGUAGCAGUGAAAUGCGUAGAUAUCGUAAGGAAGACCAGUGGCGAAGGCGGAUCUCUGGACAGUUACUGACACUGAGGCAGCGAAGGCCAGGGGAGCAAACCGGG
rnacentral:rRNA from 1 species